rnacentral:lncRNA from 1 species
AUAAAUUAAAAUCGAUGUUUAUUAAUAAAAUAAAAUCCAGGACAAACGACGAAAUUAACGAGCGUCGGAUAAGUGAGAAUAAAAUAUAAAAAGAGAUUAAAAGAAAUAAAAUAGAAAAAUAAAUGUGUAUCAAAUCCUGAACAUGCCACACGCAUGUAUUGAACCCAUUACUAGGGAGGAAAUGAAUUAGCUUUACACCCACCCGACCAUGAGCUAUCAGCUGUUAAGCUACUAGCAACUAA